GCCACCCCCAUCCCACCCCAGUGGGAGCAGCAAGGCCAGAGGCAGACUGGGGACUCCCCGAGGUGGGACUGUCACAGCCAGGGCGUUUCACAGAGUCUCUCUGGCUCACAGUCCGUGCACGUACACGGAUCUCAGCUGCGUCUAGGGCCAACCCGGGUCGGUAAAUUCUCCGGUUGUGCUGCAAGCUCGGGGUUGGAUACGAGCGGUUUCCUUGGUCUUUUAAAUUUUCCUCUAAGGACCCGUAGCCCUGACAGCAUUCCCACUACCCUUCUUAGGGAAGAGGAAUACGGUCAUUAGGGUUACCGCGGCGCGAGCCCGUGGCAGGGGGAACGGGAGCCAAGGGCACCUUCGCGAGCAGCGCCCGGGGGACCACCGAUCCGGCGCCACCGGGACCUCCAGGGUCACCGAACCCAGUCGGAAACCUCUCAAACACGGCGCCAGAGAGUAUGGGUGAGAAACCAGGGAGACGCCAUCGCACCCCAAAGCCCAGGCUUUGUGUAGCCUUCCUCCAGUAGGUGACCCGGAACCCCACGGAGGACACAGUUCCCGGGGCUGCGGAUUGAGAGGCGAAGGACAGGACAAGGCAGGUCCUCAAAUGCUCUCUCUCAUCAAAAAGGCCACAGGCAGCAACGCGGAAAAAAACCGCACGCGGCCGGACUGCGCACGCGCGCGGAAAGGCCACGGGUUCCUCCUCCCCGUCUCCCCCCACCCCAGGAACGCGCGGUGGCCCGAGCGCGCAUGCGCGACUCGCGGAGGGAAACGUUGGAGGGGGAACCCUGUCCAUUGUGAGAGAGACCCGCCCCCGCCCCGGCGCGCGCACGCACCACUCUCACAGCCUCACGGGCGCGCGCCACGGCCUCUGCCCAACUCCACGCGCAUGCGCGGGGAAGGGGGGUUAGAGAGACACGGAAGGCAACGAAACCUGUGGGCUAUUUUUUUUUUUUUGAACUCCCAGCUACUCUCCAGAACCGUGUCCACCUGCACACCGCCAUGCUUCCCGCCAUGAUGAUAAUGGAGUGAACCUCUGAACUAUUUUUUUCUCCACUAUGAGAGUCAACAUGUAAACUGAGUGAGUCUUCAGAGACAGGUCACACACACUGGGUGGUGAUCACGUGACUACAACUGUAUGAAGAAGGUUCUGGAAUCAUCAGGAGUUCAGCUUUUUUUUGGGGGAACUCACAGAAAGGCCGGAGGCAAGAACGGACAUCACAGAAUUGCCCUGUAACCUUCACAUGCUUGCCAUGCAUGUGCCUCUACAUGGAUCAUACACGCAAACAGCUUUGUCUGUAUGGUAGAUAUGUGUGGGUACACGGGUAUAUGUAUCGCAGAUUUGGGGGUCUGAGGGUGUGGCUCUGUAGUGGAGUUGCUUAGCAUGCAAGAAGCUCUGGGUUUGACCCUCAUGGGCACCAAGUAAAUAAAAUAAUAUAGGGGUUUUUGUUUA